GCGGGGGUGGCGGAACGGCAGACGCGCCAGAUUUAGGAUCUGGUGGGGAUAGCCCGUGCGGGUUCAAGUCCCGCCUCCCGCA
rnacentral:tRNA from 1 species